UGGGCCUACGGGACGCAGCAGUGGGGAAUAUUGGGCAAUGGGCGCAAGCCUGACCCAGCAACGCCGCGUGAGUGAAGAAGUAUUUCGGUAUGUAAAGCUCUAUCAGCAGGGAAGAAAAUGACGGUACCUGACUAAGAAGCCCCGGCUAACUACGUGCCAGCAGCCGCGGUAAUACGUAGGGGGCAAGCGUUAUCCGGAUUUACUGGGUGUAAAGGGAGCGUAGACGGUAGAGCAAGUCUGAAGUGAAAGCCCGCGGCUCAACUGCGGGACUGCUUUGGAAACUGUUCAACUGGAGUGCUGGAGAG
rnacentral:rRNA from 1 species